CUUUACUCUAGCUUGGCACUGAGUCGUACAUAUAUUUGUGCAGGAUAGGUGGGAGACUAUGAAAGAUGGACGCCAGUUCAUCUCGAGUCGUCGUUGAGAUACCACCCUUGUAUAUGUAUGCCUCUAACCCCUUUUUGGGGGACCGUGCUUGGUGGGGAGUUUAACUGGGGCGGUUGCCUCCUAAAACGUAACGGAGGCGCACAAAGGUAGGCUAGGUCCGGAUGGAAAUCGGACUGGUCGUGUAUUCGCACAAGCCUGCUUGACUGAGAGACCUACAAGUCGAUCAGAGACGAAAGUCGGUGAAAGUGAUCCGGCACCAACAUGUGGGAGUGGUGUCGCCCAACGGAUAAAAGUUA
rnacentral:rRNA from 1 species